rnacentral:rRNA from 1 species
GCUUGCUCCUGGAUUCAGCGGCGGACGGGUGAGUAAUGCCUAGGAAUCUGCCUGGUAGUGGGGGAUAACGUUCCGAAAGGAACGCUAAUACCGCAUACGUCCUACGGGAGAAAGCAGGGGACCUUCGGGCCUUGCGCUAUCAGAUGAGCCUAGGUCGGAUUAGCUAGUUGGUGAGGUAAUGGCUCACCAAGGCGACGAUCCGUAACUGGUCUGAGAGGAUGAUCAGUCACACUGGAACUGAGACACGGUCCAGACUCCUACGGGAGGCAGCAGUGGGGAAUAUUGGACAAUGGGCGAAAGCCUGAUCCAGCCAUGCCGCGUGUGUGAAGAAGGUCUUCGGAUUGUAAAGCACUUUAAGUUGGGAGGAAGGGCUGUAGGCUAAUAUCCUGCGGUUUUGACGUUACCAACAGAAUAAGCACCGGCUAACUUCGUGCCAGC